rnacentral:tRNA from 1 species
GGAGGGUAGGCGAAUUGGCUAGCAACCUGAUUCGAAAUCAGGCGCCGGUUAUCCGGUUGCGGGUUCGAGUCCCGUGCCCUCCG